UACAGAGGGUGCGAGCGUUGUCCGGAAUCACUGGGCGUAAAGGGCGCGUAGGUGGCGGUGUUAGCGUGCGGUGAAAGCCCGAGGCUCAACCUCGGGUCGGCCGUGCGAACUGCAUCGCUUGAGCAGAGUAGAGGCAGGUGGAAUUCCGGGUGUAGCGGUGGAAUGCGUAGAGAUCCGGAAGAACACCGGUGGCGAAGGCGGCCUGCUGGGCUCUGGCUGACACUGAGGCGCGACAGCGUGGGGAGCAAACAGG
rnacentral:rRNA from 1 species